CAUCGGAGCCGGCUCGCAGCGCUGUGCCGACUGCCCGGGCGCUCGGCAGCGCAUCCGAACGAACGAAACGCACCAUAGAGAACACGCGGCCGUGUUUACGAACGCAACCCACCCCGUAUUCGAAUUUUGAAAUUUGAAUUUCAAAUUUGGAAAUCAGUUUUGUGCAGUGACGAUUUGAGUUUGGAUUUUGAUUGGCGAUUGAGCCGGACUUUGGAGGCUGGAUGAAUCUGGGAAUUUGAAGAAACAAACAUGGCUCAAAAUGGGUACGGCCCAGUGGCGGGACAUGGCGGGAGAA